rnacentral:tRNA from 1 species
UAGCCUAGUGGUUAAGGCUAUGGAUCGCCAAUCCGGAGUCAGCGGGUUCGAUUCCCGU